CGUCUAUAUACGUAUAGCAUAUCAAUAAGCGGAGGAAAAGAAACUAACUAGGAUUCCCUCAGUAACGGCGAGUGAAGCGGGAAGAGCUCAAAUUUGAAAUCUUCAAGGUUCUACCUUGACGAAUUGUAGUUUAAAGAAGUGUUUUCCGUUGGAGUUUUGGUAAAAGUUCUUUGGAAUAGGACAUCAUAGAGGGUGAGAAUCCCGUAUUUGACCAUUAUUUCCAACUUUGUGAUACACUUUCAAAGAGUCGGAUUGUUUGGGAAUGCAGUCCAAAAUGGGUGGUAAAUUUCAUCUAAAGCUAAAUAUUGGCGAGAGACCGAUAGCGAACAAGUACCGUGAGGGAAAGAUGAAAAGAACUUUGAAAAGAGAGUUAAACAGUACGUGAAAUUGUCAAAAGGGAAGCGUUUGACACCAGUGUUGUUUUCUCGAAAAUCAAUUAAAAAAGAUUGGAUUUUGUGUUGUAUUGACUUUAUCAGCUUUCUGCACUCUUUUCUUGUCUUUUUUAAUGCACUUUUCGUUUAACAAGUCAACAUCAAUUUCUUCUGUUGUAAAAGGGUCAUUGGAAGGUGGCUUUCUCUUCGGAGAAAGUGUUUAUAGCCUUUGGCUUCUGCAGUCGGAGAGAUUGAGGUCUGCAGCGUAGAUCCUUCGGGGUUAGAUGCAUUUGUGCUAAGUUAUAGCCUUUCAUAGACAACUUGUUGACUAUGAUCAGUCAUGUAGCUUACUCGCUUAUGUCAUUUUACCUACGCUUAGGAUGUUGAUCUGUAGUGCGUGCGC
rnacentral:rRNA from 1 species